rnacentral:rRNA from 1 species
GACGAACGCUGGCGGCGUGCUUAACACAUGCAAGUCGAACGGAAAGGCCCUGCUUGCAGGGUACUCGAGUGGCGAACGGGUGAGUAACACGUGGGUGAUCUGCCCUGCACUUCGGGAUAAGCCUGGGAAACUGGGUCUAAUACCGGAUAGGAGCCAUUUUUAGUGGGAUGGUUGGAAAGUUUUUUCGGUGUAGGAUGAGCUCGCGGCCUAUCAGCUUGUUGGUGGGGUAAUGGCCUACCAAGGCGGCGACGGGUAGCCGGCCUGAGAGGGUGGACGGCCACAUUGGGACUGAGAUACGGCCCAGACUCCUACGGGAGGCAGCAGUGGGGAAUAUUGCACAAUGGGCGCAAGCCUGAUGCAGCGACGCCGCGUGGGGGAUGACGGCCUUCGGGUUGUAAACUCCUUUCGCUAGGGACGAAGCUUUUUGUGACGGUACCUAGAUAAGAAGCACCGGCUAACUACGUG